rnacentral:rRNA from 1 species
GCGCGAAACCUCUGCAAUGCGCGAAAGCGUGACAGGGGAACUCUGCGUGCUACACUUUUAGUGUAGCUUUUUACAAUCUUAAGACGAUUGUAGAAUAAGGGCUGGGCAAGACUAGUGCCAGCCGCCGCGGUAACACUAGCGGCCCGAGUGGUGUCCACGAAUAUUGGGUCUAAAGAGCCCGUAGCUGGUCCGUUAAGUUUCCUGUGAAAUUUCAGGGCUCAACUCUGAAGCGUGCAGGAAAUACUGGCGUGACUUGAGAGCGGGGGAGGUCUAGAGUACUCAUGGGGUAACGGUAAAAUGUUGUAAUCCUAUGAGGACUUCCAGUGGCGAAGGCGCUAGACCAAAACGCGUCUGACGGUGAGGGACGAAGGCUAGGAGAACGAAUCGG